AUACAUCAUAUGCCUAUUAUGCUAAGAGAAUUCUUAUUUAAAAAACUAUUCAUAAAGUUUAUAACAUAUUUAUGUAUAUAUAAUAAAGAACAAGUAUAUAAAUAUAUAAAAAACGUGAAUGAUAUUGAAAUAUAUCAGCAAGUUUUUGAAACGCAUAACAACAUAAAUGUUUUAUUAUUUUUGAAAGAAAAACAAGGAGACAUUGGAUAUAUUGUUGAAUUGUGUUUAACAGAAAUAAAAAAAAACAUUUUAAUACUUUAUGAUACUUUUAAUCUAAAAAACAAAUGGGUUUAUCCAAAAAAUGUUACUUACGACGACAUUUUUUAUGUUAAUUUUGCAACCUAUGUGCAGGUAUACAAUUUGUAUGCAAUGCCGUAUAAAAAAGAGAUAAAAAAAAAGUUACUACUUGUUAACAAAAGAAAGAAGGUGAAGCAGUGCGAAAACUGUAGUGACGAUAGCAAAAGUAGUAAUUACCAAUUUGAGCACACGAUGUAUAAGUCGACAUUUCUAAAUGCUAUGCUUAAACAAGUAAACAAAAACGACUAUAAUAAACAUUUUUUCAAUGAUUAUUAUGCUGGUAUAAAAAACAAACUUAUCUCGAUGAGUACAAAUGGAAAUCUUUCGCAUCAUGGUAAAAAGAAACGCAUGAGAGUUGGUUUGUACAAUAAAGGCACUGAUGACAGUGGUAAUAGUGGCCACGAGUUAAAGGGGGGAAAAAAUAUGCAAUAUGGUUAUUUAUUUGUUAAAUCAAAAUAUAAUUGUUAUUUAAACAGAAAUAAAUUGUUAUUAAAAAAAAGAAAAAAUGAAAAAAUGACUCAAAGAAAUAAAAAGCUGUGGAAAUCUUUCUGGAUUUAUAACACAAAAGAAUAUAAUUUAAUUUUUUUACAUUUGUAUAUGCUAUUGUUUAUUUUGAAAAAAAAUAAAAUAAAAAAUAAAAAAAUAUAUGAACAUAUCAUAUUUUUCGUCAUAAAUGAAUGUUUAAAAAGUUUUAUUAACAUUUAUGACUACUUGAAUGAAAAAGAAAAUAAUGCAUGUGACAGUAAUCAAAGCCGAAACAACAUAAAUGAAAAAAAAAUUAUUUUUUUUAACUACAUUUUUGAGCAAAUAAUAGUAUUCACAAUCAACGCAAACUCGUAUAAAAUCUCAGAUAAAAUAUGUAGAAAAUUAUUACAUAACUAUAAAGAUAUAAACAUAAAUAUAAUGAAAUUACCACUAAUUGUAUUAUUAAAAAAUAUAACUGAUUUAUAUAUUUUAUCUAUUGGUAAUUAUAAAAUUACAAAUAACAAAAUAAAAGAACAGAUGAAUAUUUAUACUUGUGAAAAAAAAAAAGGAGUUGUUAUA
rnacentral:lncRNA from 1 species